GAAGUUGCAUUUGGUUAUUCAGGGGGAUCGGGGACCUAAUAAAGGUUUGGGGGGCGCCAUUGGAGGGUAGGGCCUCUAGAAGUUCCUGUGGGUGGUCCGGGACAGCUUCUAGUGAGCUUGGCAAAGUCCGCUCAGGAAGAAGAGUCUGAUUGGUGGGACGAGGGGGUUUUUCUCAAAUGACGUCACUUCCUUGUGGGCUGACCGCCCAUAUGGGAAGCGAGUUGCCAGGUGUGUUGAGGUGAGAAACAGCAGCUGUGGGAUGAGACUCCGAACAUCUCCUACCAUCUGCUGUGUGACCUUGAAUUUGCCACCGUCCCUUCCUCCUCCCCACCCUGGAACCCAUUUCCAAGACUGUGCCAUGAAGGUGGUUGUCACCGAUGGUCUCUGGGAACUUUCCCAAUCUUACCCAUUCAAGGAUCGCAGGAAGGAACAGGACGGCGGGAACUGGACCAGGGUCAUCUGUGAGCUCAGCACGCACCUGCUCCUCCUGGAGACUUCGGAUGAUCUUCCUGACCUUGAACAUAACUCUCAGAACCACACAUCCCAAAGCUCCAGUAGAGGUCAUCUAGAAUGGAGGUGACCAGGCAGUAUCUAGCCUCCCUGGACCCUUUUUUCCAACCUGCCACGGUAUCAGCGUUCCCAGCAGCCUCGUGUCCUGCACAUAAGCUGUUAAGUGGCCAUCUGUGCACUGAUAGAAAAGACUGAACAAGACGUACGUGGUCAAGUUCAGGGAAAGCCCGGGCGUCUCCAGGGACCCGCCAGGUGCCCUGGAAGAGAGUCUUUGCCCCAGCAGCCAUAGGAGACAAGUUGCCAGAAAUCAACCCCAAUCCCUCAUUCUAAGACUGGUGACCGGGAAGGCCGAGAACCUCGAAAAAUGGGAGCAGAACAGAGCAGGCUUCUCAUGACUUUGCCACAGCUCUACUGUGAUGUGUGUGUGAUCAUUUCUACCGUUCUGCUUGGCACGAGCUUAAACUGGGUGUGGCGAUGCUGGAAUACAUCAUCUUUUUUCUUAGGAACAGGCGACCCUGUAUUAACAUCCUCCUGCCUUGCCCAUGUGUGUAAUGGUUCCUCUGAUAUUUCUGUCUAAGUCUCUGCAACCGUAUCUUCAAGUUCUCUCAGAAGCUUCCAAGAAUAAUUCAUUUAUGUUAGGAGAAGACAAAGUCAUCUAAACUGGGCUAGCUGUCCAGAAAACAUAAAAAAAAUAAAAAAUAAA